rnacentral:rRNA from 1 species
GAUGAACGCUGGCGGCGUGCCUAACACAUGCAAGUCGAACGGAGUCGUUUUGGAAAUCUCUUCGGAGCUGGAAUUCUCGACUUAGUGGCGGACGGGUGAGUAACGCGUGAGCAAUCUGCCUUUAAGAGGGGGAUAACAGUCGGAAACGGCUGCUAAUACCGCAUAAUGCAUUAAAUUCGCAUGUUUUUGAUGCCAAAGGAGCAAUCCGCGUUUAGAUGAGCUCGCGUCUGAUUAGCUAGUUGGCGGGGUAACGGCCCACCAGGGCGAAGAGCAGUAGCCGGAGUGAGGGGGUGAACGGCCACAGUGGGACUGAGACACGGCCCAGACUCCUACGGGAGGCAGCAGUGGAGAAUAUUGCGCAAUGGGGGAACCCCUGACGCAGCAACGCCGCGUGAUUGAAGAAGGCCUUCGGGGUGUAAAGAUCUUUAAUCAGGGACGAAACAAAUGACGGUACCUGAAGAAUAAGCUCCGGCUAACUACGUG